CUGAUCCCAUCCCGAACUCAGAAGUGAAACGCAAUCGCGCCGAUGGUAGUGUGGGGUCUCCCCAUGUGAGAGUAGGUCAUCGCCAGAC
rnacentral:rRNA from 2 species